AUGCCUUGCACAAUUUAUAUUAUACUUAUAAUCAUUGUAACCUGAUGGGAAUUUGAAUCAUUGUAAUCAGUAUUCUUGGCAGUAUCACCAGUUUCUGAAGGUGUGAUUAUGUAAGUCAAUGAAAUGAAAAUUCAAGGCAGAACAUGCCUUCAAAGUUUCUAGAAAACAGCCUAAUAGUGCAUGAGGAAUACAUUUCGAUUUGAUCUGGAUACAAAUGAGAUUUAAACGUUCCUACUUCCAAGACAAACUUUAUACUCAUUUCGACUGAGAUUUAUAAUCUAAUAUAAUCUGUGAAGACUUGUACUGAAAAUGUAUUAAUUAAAGCAAAUCACUUCAUAUAGCCCUUUAUCUCUGUGUUACUUUACAAUCAUUACCUAAUUUAAUAUGCAAAUGAAAAACAAACCAGCAAAAUUUCAGUACAAUUAAAAAUGCUGAUCUGUAUUAACAAUAGAAAAGGAAUAUUUCAUUUUCAUAUAAUUACUUUUUGUGGAUUCACUUUUUUCGCUUAAACCUUUUUUUAACCGAAGUAUAUAACAUCAUGGAGUUACAGAAAUGGGUAUUAUACAUUCAUGUGAAAUAAAAAGACGUUUUCACUAGAAUAAUGCAUAACUCUGAUAUGAAAGACAUACAAUAUAUCAAAACAAGGCACAUGUGA